rnacentral:piRNA from 1 species
UUGGAAUAAAGCCCUAAAUUCAAGAAGCCU